CGUCCCUUCGGGGACAUCCGAUAAAAUUGGAACGAUACAGAGAAGAUUAGCAUGGCCCCUGCGCAAGGAUGACACGCAUAAAUCGAGAAAUGGUCCAAAUUUUUUUGCUCUUUUCUGCAAUUCUGUUUUUUGUUUUUUUGGUGCUCUCCAUGGUGUUUGCUCACAAUCCCAAGGGCCAAAGGCGUAGUUCACUGCAGUUACAGAGGGCUUUUGGGAGCUAUAAACAUUUCGCAUUUCAAGUCUUUGAUGGUCCGGUGGCCUAGUCUUUGAUCUUCUGGGGCCCCUUGAGCUUUCAAGCUUGCACUCAUGGAUCUUUCGAAAGUCCAUACUGUCUGUUACUUCGAAAAUCAUGAAGCUGAUAUAUCAUUUGAAUUGAUUGUCGGAAUCGCUUCAUUUUGAGAAUUUGAAGGUAGUGAAAGCCAUACCACUUUUUUUCUUUAUCAAGUGAUCAACUCAAAACUAAAGCCUUACCAGUUUGACAUAUAGUUGGCCUUUGUAUCUAAAGUCUGUUGCUUGAAGCAUGUUGAUACUUGACAUAUUUUCCUUGACAAUAUUAUGAUGCAAAUUCCGGGCUUUGAUCCCAUUUUAUUCUUC